CAGCCGCCGCGGUAAUACGUAGGUGGCAAGCGUUGUCCGGAAUUAUUGGGCGUAAAGGGCUCGCAGGCGGUUUCUUAAGUCUGAUGUGAAAGCCCCCGGCUCAACCGGGGAGGGCCAUUGGAAACUGGGAAACUUGAGUGCAGAAGAGGAGAGUGGAAUUCCACGUGUAGCGGUGAAAUGCGUAGAGAUGUGGAGGAACACCAGUGGCGAAGGCGACUCUCUAGACUGUAACUGACACUGAGGAGCGAAAGCGUGGGGAGCGAACAGGAUUAGAUACCCCAGUAGUCCCUGUCUCUUAUAC
rnacentral:rRNA from 1 species